CUUUUGUACUGUUUUGAAACACCACUGCUGCUCAGCAUGCCAGGGAAAUAAUGCUGUCACCUACCAGCAGUGUUCCUACGGAGUCACUUCUGGAGUCCUGAAAAAUAAAAGAGCAGUUCAUUUGGGCUAUUGUCAAGUACAGCCUGAAGCAAUUCCUCCUGACCUGAGCCUAUUGCUGGACAAAAAAAGGACUUGUGGGAAGCAAAGACAGAUGAAGGAGUGAGAGGGAGAAAGAGGAGAGUGGAAAAGGCAGAAUGCGUUUACAGAUGCAGUCACAUGCAAGAGAAAACCAAGAAGUUCACUGGGAGCCAUGGUCUGUGGAACUUUCUUUAUUCUAAACAGAUAUAGAAUUACUCUCCACUUGUCUGGUACCAAUUACUUUUCAUAUACUGGAAUCCCUGAAGGUCUCUGGACUAUCCAGUGUCCAGUUCCUAGUAAUCCAGGCAGUGUCUGGCAUGGGCUCCCUGUCCUGGAGUUGACUCCAAAUUAGUCAUUAGUCGGCCACUCCCACAAAUCUUUGUUUUCUUAAGAGUGAGAGAACGGAGUGGAGCUGGAAAGCUGGUGAACUGGAGAGGAUCCAGGAGGAGCCCAAUUUGAAGCGACACACAAUUCAGCUACUGCAUUACCUAACAAGAACAACAAAAGAGGAAGAUCUGUGGUGCCAUGGGUGUGCCCCGGGAUGAAAGGUGUGACAUGUCCCGAGUUCACUGCCGUUAUCCAUGUUAAUAGUUCCUGUUGGUGCACAAUACAACAAAUCCCUUCUGCGAUCUAAGUUUCCAAACUGGAAGUUCAAAUGCUCUCUGCUUUCUGCUUAGCAUCUCCUAAGCCUGAAAUCAAGGUGAGUUAGGCAGCACUCCCAUCUGAAGUGCAGAUGCUCUUCAAAGCUCCAACAAUGCUGGACUGACUCAAUUUCAGCAAGACUCCUUGGAGGUCCCUGUAUCCUCUCCUGCUGCCAAGAGAGAAUGUUCCACCCUCACAGAAGCCUCUGUAUUCUGUGCUUUAUAUCUUGAAACCAGCAGGAGAGACUGUGUCUUGCAUCACAUCCUGUUCAGAUGUUAAGGACUCUUCCAAACAGAAGCAGCUGUGUCUCUUUUUGAGAACUAUGUCCAUGGAGAAUAAUGAUUGUAACUUAAACAAACAAACAAACAAACAAACAAAAAAAACAAUUAUUUGGGGCUUUAGUUAUAUUUGCAAAUUGCUUUCACAGCACCAUCAGUAAGCAUUUAGUGCCAACUGUGACAGGUAUGUGAAACACAAAUUGCUGAGAAUCUUGGAAACUGUAACAAAAUGCAGCCUAUCACAUCAGAGGAAGAUUUCAUUCACAACUUGCACUGAUCCCCUGAAUGAAGAGUGAAUCCAUGGUAUUUCUAUCUGCAGAAUUUACCACUAACUGGAUAUAAAUCUUAAACAAAUGUAUUAAUACUUUACAUGGUAUACAAAAAUAUACAACAAAUCUAUAUAUACAUGAUCAUAAGGCUAAUUUAUUGAAUUCACUAAUCCAAGGUUCAAAUGAAUUAAUUUAUUAAUAUUCCUGUGUCUAAUACAUGGUGAUAUAGAAAUCUUUUCCUUAUCUCUUUUUCUUUCUUGAGAUCAGUGCUUAAAACUAUAUUACAACAUUUUUAACAUAUGUGGAUUGACCAUAAACAGAUCAAAAUAGAGCCAGCAAGAUGGUUCUGAAUGUGAUGAUGCAUACUUGUCACCAAGCCUGACAAUCUGAGUUCAGUGCCCAGGU